UUUCAAAACCGACAAUGGAAAAUGCCUAACCCGUUUCUCCGCCUAAGAUCAUUCUUGAAGUUUUGGAUCCCCUGCAGAGCACAGCAAGGCUCCGGACUUUGUCCCGCGAGGAGUGACAGGUCUCGGGCCUCUUCCGUCCGCGGGAGGAAGCGGGGCUCCAGGCGGUGCGAGGACUGCGUGUGCCUUCCCCACACCCGCCCUCUGGGGGCCUUGCCCCACAGCUUGGCUUUCCAGAGCUUUCUAGCCUACGGGGUCCCAGGGUCGGGACUGCAGGAGAGCCAGCUGGGACCUGACUGCAUCUGAAUCCCGCUGGGACCUGUUGGACCGCGCUUGUGUCGACGCAGUUCCACUCCCUUCACGCCAGGGGCGGCCUACGCGUCCCGAUGUAGAUCACUGCGUGCGUGCACGGAGGUGAAAUGUUUGAAAAAGCAGUUUCAGGCUCUUCUUUGAAGAAGGAAGCAAAUGCCUAUGGUGACGAUGUUGAAGGGAGAAUGUUUCAUCCCGGGAUGUCCUACGCCUACUUACCGAUGGCUGUCUGAUCUCGGUUGACUGCAGGUCAUUAAAGCCCUGGAAAUGAAAGCAUCGACACAGGGGACAACUGCUCUUCCACUGCCACCAACCUGGUCCAAAUGAAGUCACCACCCCAGAGAACUGCCCUGACAGUCUCCCAGCUGGUCUUGCUUCUUCCUGCUGGCCCUUCCCAGUCUCCUCUCAGGAGAGCAGCUCCUGCGGUC
rnacentral:lncRNA from 1 species